UCCGGUUGAUCCUGCCGGACCUGACUGCUAUCGGAUUGAUACUAAGCCAUGCGAGUCAUUGUAGCAAUACAAGGCAUACGGCUCAGUAACGCGUAGUCAACCUAACCUAUGGACGGGAAUAACCUCGGGAAACUGAGAAUAAUGCCCGAUAGAACAUUAUGCCUGGAAUGGUUUAUGUUCCAAAUGAUUUAUCGCCAUAGGAUGGGACUGCGGCCUAUCAGUUUGUUGGUGAGGUAAUGGCCCACCAAGACUAUUACAGGUACGGGCUCUGAGAGGAGUAGCCCGGAGAUGGGUACUGAGACACGGACCCAGGCCCUAUGGGGCGCAGCAGGCGAGAAAACUUUGCAAUGUGCGAAAGCACGACAAGGUUAAUCCGAGUGGUUUCUGCUAAAUGAACCUUUUGUCAGUCCUAGAAACACUGAUGAAUAAGGGGUGGGCAAGUUCUGGUGUCAGCCGCCGCGGUAAAACCAGCACCUCAAGUGGUCAGGAUGAUUAUUGGGCCUAAAGCAUCCGUAGCCGGCUCUGUAAGUUUUCGGUUAAAUCUGUACGCUCAACGUACAGGCUGCCGGGAAUACUGCAGAGCUAGGGAGUGGGAGAAGUAGACGGUACUCGGUAGGAAGUGGUAAAAUGCUUUGAUCUAUCGAUGACCACCUGUGGCGAAGGCGGUCUACUAGAACACGUCCGACGGUGAGGGAUGAAAGCUGGGGGAGCAAACCGGAUUAGAUACCCGGGUAGUCCCAGCUGUAAACUAUGCAAACUCAGUGAUGCAUUGGCUUGUGGCCAAUGCAGUGCUGCAGGGAAGCCGUUAAGUUUGCCGCCUGGGAAGUACGUACGCAAGUAUGAAACUUAAAGGAAUUGGCGGGGGAGCACCACAAGGGGUGAAGCCUGCGGUUCAAUUGGAUUCAACGCCGGA
rnacentral:rRNA from 1 species